CGGCGGCCUCCCGGGCGCCGCCCGCCCCGGGCUCCGCGCGCCGCGCCGCCGCGAGACGCGGGCGAUGGCGGCGAUCAGGCGCUCCAGGAAGAGGUUGAAGAACAGGAGGGAGCUGGAGCACCCCAGGAGGCCGUAGACGAUCAGGAACACCUUCCCGCCCACUGUCGCUGGCGUGGCCAUCCCAAACCCUGCGGGAGACAGAAAUCGGAGGAGGUGCUCAGUGACUCCUGGCAGUGUGGGCUUCGUUAUCAGACAUCCUCGUCUGAGGACUAUAUCUUCAAAACUAUCAGAAAUGUGACGACUUACGUGUGUACACUGAUGUCACCUGCCUUUACUUUUAACAAUGAGAAUCUUUAGCAACCUGAAUGGCAGAUAAUAGGGCAGCAGCUAAGUAAAAGUAGCCAUUUAGCUGAAGCCACUGGAAUUACAUAUACGCAACAGAACCGGAACACGUAAUGCUAAAAUCUAUAUGAGACCACCAGAGACCGGGAAUUGCCAAAGCGGUCCUGAGGAAAAAGAAAGAAGCAGGAUGCCAAACCCUCCCAGACUUCAGACAAUACUGCAAAGCUCCAGAAAUCGAACAGAGUGGUCCUUGCCCCAAAACAGACACGUGGACCAGCGGGGCAGAACAGAAAGCCAGAAAUAAACCCAAACACAGCUAUGGCCAGUUAAUUUUCGAUAAAUGAGGCCAGAACACACAAUGCAGAGAAUACAGCUUCUUCAGCAAGUGGUGCUGGGACACUCGACUGCUGCGUGUGAACCAGUGAAGUUAGAACAUUCUCACACCACACACAAAACAAACUCAGAACGGCUUAAGAUUCAAAUACGAGACAUGACACCAUAAAGCUCCUAAGAGAGAGAGCAGGCAGACAUUCUCUGACAUAAAUGGUAGCAAUGUUUUCUUAGGUCAGUCUCCCAAGGCAAUAAAAAUAAAAGCAAAAUAAACAAAUGGGACCUCAUCAAAUUGAUAAGCUUUUGCACAGCAAAGGAAACCAUAAACAAAAUGAAACAACCGUCUAUAGUCUAAGAGGAAAUAUCACAAAUGAUGUGACCGACAGGGGCUUAGUUUCCAAGAUAUACAAACAGCUCAUACAAUUCAAUAAUAAAAAAACAACCCAGUUGAAACAUGGGCAGAAGAAAUAAGUAGACAUUCCUCCAAAGAAAACAUACAGAUGGCCAACAGACUCGGGAAAACAGCACGGAGGUUCCUCAGGAAACUGAAAACGGAGCUGGCGUGUGGCCCAGCAGGCCCACUCCUGGGCAAGUCUCUGGGCUAACUGUGGUCUGGAAAGGUGCCUGCACGCCUGAGUUCACGGCAGCACUGUCCACAGUUCACAACCUAAACGUCCCUCAACGGAUGAGUGGGUAAAGAAGAUGGGCCCAUAUGAACAGUAGAAAACUAGUCAGCCGUCCAAACAAUGAAAUAAUGUUACCUGCAGCAACGUGGAUAGACCCAGAGAUGAUCAUACCGAGGGGAGAAAAUCAGGAAGAGAAACUCAAAUAGCAUGCGACAUCACUCAUGUGUGAAACCUGAAGCAUGACGCCAGCGAGUUCACCUGUGAAAGCAGCAGGGAACAGACCCAUAGGGAACAGACUCGUAGGGAACAGACUCGUAGGGAACAGACUCGUAGGGAACAGGCCCGUAGGGAGCAGACUCAUAGGGAACAGGCCCAUAGGGAACAGACUCGUAGGGAACAGACUCGUAGGGAACAGGCCCGUAGGGAACAGACUCGUAGGGAACAGGCCCGUAGGGAACAGACUCGUAGGGAACAGACUCGUAGGGAACAGGCUCGUAGGGAACAGGCCCGUAGGGAACAGACUCGUAGGGAACAGGCCCGUAGGGAACAGGCCCGUAGGGAACAGACUCGUAGGGAACAGACUCGUAGGGAACAGGCUCGUAGGGAACAGGCCCGUAGGGAACAGACUCGUAGGGAACAGGCUCGUAGGGAACAGGCCUGUAGGGAACAGACUCGUAGGGAACAGACUCAUAGGGAACAGGCCCGUAAGGAACAGGCCCGUAGGGAACAGACUCGUAGGGAACAGACUCAUAGGGAACAGGCCCGUAAGGAACAGGCCCAUAGGGAACAGACUCGUAGGGAACAGGCUCGUAGGGAACAGGCCCGUAGGGAACAGACUCGUAGGGAACAGAC
ensembl:lncRNA